CACAUGCAGUCGAACGAGAGAUGAGGAGCUUGCUCUUCAAAUCGAGUGGCGAACGGGUGAGUAACGCGUGAGGAACCUGCCUCAAAGAGGGGGACAACAGUUGGAAACGACUGCUAAUACCGCAUAAGCCCACGGCUCGGCAUCGAGCAGAGGGAAAAGGAGUGAUCCGCUUUGAGAUGGCCUCGCGUCCGAUUAGCUAGUUGGUGAGGUAACGGCCCACCAAGGCGACGAUCGGUAGCCGGACUGAGAGGUUGAACGGCCACAUUGGGACUGAGACACGGCCCAGACUCCUACGGGAGGCAGCAGUGGGGAAUAUUGCACAAUGGGGGAAACCCUGAUGCAGCGACGCCGCGUGGAGGAAGAAGGUCUUCGGAUUGUAAACUCCUGUUGUUGAGGAAGAUAAUGACGGUACUCAACAAGGAAGUGACGGCUAACUACGUGCCAGCAGCCGCGGUAAAACGUAGGUCACAAGCGUUGUCCGGAAUUACUGGGUGUAAAGGGAGCGCAGGCGGGAGAACAAGUUGGAAGUGAAAUCCAUGGGCUCAACCCAUGAACUGCUUUCAAAACUGUUUUUCUUGAGUAGUGCAGAGGUAGGCGGAAUUCCCGGUGUAGCGGUGGAAUGCGUAGAUAUCGGGAGGAACACCAGUGGCGAAGGCGGCCUACUGGGCACCAACUGACGCUGAGGCUCGAAAGUGUGGGUAGCAAACAGGAUUAGAUACCCUGGUAGUCCACACCGUAAACGAUGAUUACUAGGUGUUGGAGGAUUGACCCCUUCAGUGCCGCAGUUAACACAAUAAGUAAUCCACCUGGGGAGUACGACCGCAAGGUUGAAACUCAAAGGAAUUGACGGGGGCCCGCACAAGCAGUGGAGUAUGUGGUUUAAUUCGACGCAACGCGAAGAACCUUACCAAGUCUUGACAUCCC
rnacentral:rRNA from 1 species